UACAGAGGGGGCAAGCGUUGUUCGGAAUUCAUGGGCGUAAAGGGGGCGUAGGCGGCCUUCUAAGUCGAACGUGAAAUCCCCGGGCUCAACCCGGGAACUGCGUCCGAUACUGGAAGGCUUGAAUCCGGGAGAGGGAUGCGGAAUUCCAGGUGUAGCGGUGAAAUGCGUAGAUAUCAGGAGGAACACCGGUGGCGAAGGCGGGUCUCUGGGCAACAACUGACGCUGAGGAGCGAAAGCGUGGGGAGCGAACAGG
rnacentral:rRNA from 1 species